rnacentral:lncRNA from 1 species
UGCGCAUUGGCUUCGAUUCAUGAACUUUUCCUUUGUCCUAAGCGAACUGCGAACGCGACAUCAUCAUCUACCUGUUCGGAGGAAGCAGAAAAUUUGACGAAAUUAGCUUAGAAAGUUUAGAUCCGGAUGAAAAGUUGAUCCAGUUAGGUUCAAGGAAUUUUUUCCUUUGUCCUAAGCGAACUGCGAACGCGACAUCAUCAUCUACUUGCUCGGAGGAAGCAGAAAAUUUGACGAAAUUUAAUGCGCAUUGGCUUCGAUUUAUGAACUUUUCGCAGUAAGAAUAUUUGAUAUUAUAUUAUAUGUUAGGCGAAUUAAUAUGCCCAUACCAAUUUCAAGUUGUUGUCAAGUUAAGAACGAUCGACUAUUAGUAUUGUAUAGUGGCAAAGAUGUUUCAUAUGUAAACUAUGGCCCAAAUAGCGACACUUGGUCGCCUCGCUACAUAGCGCGCUAUAGCCGCUAUUGACAAGUGACAACUAUGAUGAUAAUCAUGAGUAACUUCAUCCUGAAGAGAACAAUUAUAAAAACAUGA